UUUGAUCMUGGCUCAGGAUGARCGCUAGCGAUAGGCCUAACACAUGCAAGUCGAGGGGCAGCACAUGAAGUAGCAAUACGGAUGGUGGCGACCGGCGCACGGGUGAGUAACGCGUAUGCAACCUACYUACAACAGGGGGAUAACCCGUUGAAAGACGGACUAAUACCCCAUAAUACAGGGGUCCCGCAUGGGGAUAUUUGUUAAAGAUUAAUCGGUUGUAGAUGGGCAUGCGUUCCAUUAGCUGGUUGGUGAGGUAACGGCUCACCARGGCAACGAUGGAUAGGGGAACUGAGAGGUUUAUCCCCCACACUGGUACUGAGACACGGACCAGACUCCUACGGGAGGCAGCAGUGAGGAAUAUUGGUCAAUGGACGCAAGUCUGAACCAGCCACKUCGCGUGAAGGAAGACGGCCCUACGGGUUGUAAACUUCUUUUGUAAGGGAAUAAAGUGAGUCACGUGUGACUUUUUGCAUGUUACCUUACR
rnacentral:rRNA from 1 species